rnacentral:misc_RNA from 1 species
GAAAUGCGAUAAGUAAUGUGAAUUGCAGAAUUCAGUGAAUCAUUGAAUCUUUGAACGCACCUUGCGCUCCUUGGUAUUCCUUGGAGCAUGCCUGUUUGAGUAUCAUGAAAUCUUCAAAGUAAAUCUUUUGUUAACUCAAUUGGUUUCUACUUUGGUAUUGGAGGUCUUUGCAGCUUCACACCUGCUCCUCUUUGUUCAUUAGCUGGAUCUCAGUGUUAUGCUUGGUUCCACUCGGCGUGAUAAGUUAUCUAUCGCUGAGGACACUGUAAAAGGUGGCCAAGGUAAAUGCAGAUGAACCGCUUCUAAUAGUCCAUUGACUUGGACAAUACUUUUAUGAUCUGAUCUCAAAUCAGGUAGGACUACCCGCUGAACUUAAGA